GAAGCGGGAGAGGAUUUUUCUUUGAUAUUCACUAUGAGAAUCUGGUAGAGCUCCAGGAGAUAAAACUCACAAAAGUGUGGGAGCCCCUCAGUGACUGGAUUUUCCUGGUGUUUUUAAUCUCUUAGACUUGUCACUCUGAGCCUCCAGCAAAUCAUCCACUACAGUUCAAGUUUUCCUAUCCUGCACUGGUUCCCAUGGAGGUUUCUGCUCCUGGGUUUUUGCUCUGGACACAUGGACAAGCCCACUGUCAGUAGAAAAGAAGAGGACUAACCAAAGACGUGCAAACAUAUUUCCCUGCUUCCAUGGAAUGGGUAUACCACCGUCUAUUUGCAAAUCAUCUACCAUGGAGAGACAUUCCUAAACGUGGGCGAUAUGGUUUGGAUAUUUGUCUCCUCGAAGUCUCAUGUUGAAAUAUGAUCCCCGCUGUUGGAGACGGGGCCUAGGGGGAGGUGUUUGGGUCUAGGUAGUGGAUCCCUCGUGAAUGGUUUGGCACUUUCUCAGUAGCAAUGCGUUCACAUGAGAACUGGUUGCUUAAAAGAGCCUGGUAUCUCUCUUGCUUCCUCUCGUCAUGUAAUAUGCUGGCUCCUCUUCUCUUCCACCAAGACCAAAAGCUUCCUGGGCCUCAUCAGAAGCUGAGCAGAUGCUAACAGCCCUGCUUGUAUACAGCCUGAAGAACCAUGAAAAAAAAUACCUCCUUUCUUUAUAAAUUACCCAGCCUCAGAUUUUUUUAUAGCAAUAUGAAAGGAAUAAUAUAGCAGGAUUGCUGGGUCACAAGGCAAAUUUAAAUGUAAAAUUGCCAAAUUCCCCUAUAACAGAGAUUAUACAGUUUUGCAUUUCCUCCAUCAGUGAAUGUUCCUAUUCCAAUAGUGUUACCAAGAGAAUAUUUUCUUUUUUGAGACAGAGUUACACUCUCGUCGCCCAGGUUGGAGUGCAGAGGUGCAAUCUCGGCUCACUGCAACCUCCACCUCCCAGGUUCAAGCAAUUCUCCUGCCUCAGCCUCCCAAGUAGCUGGGAUUACAGGUGCGCACCAUUAUGCCCAGUAAAUUUUUGUAUUUUUAGUAGAGACGGGGUUUCACCAUGUUGGCCAGGCUGGUCUUGAAUGCCUGACCUCAGGUGAUCCACCCACCUUGGCCUCUCAAAGCGCUGGGAUUACAGGCAUGAGCCACCACACCUGGCCAAGCAAGUGUGUUUUCAAACUUUCAUUUUUUUUUUUUUUUU
rnacentral:lncRNA from 1 species